ACCUUGCAGGAAACUCAGAGUAAAUAAAUAGUCCUUGUCUGUUAAGUGAAAUUGUUCCUUAAGGUGGAGAGACUGAGACAGGAUCCGCCAGAAGAUUACACACUAUGUACAUUAAUAGCAAAAUCAGCUAGAAGAUUGAGAGUUUCUACCAUUAGGAAACAUACACAAAUACCAUCACACCCAGAAAAACCCAUCGAAGCUGUUUUGUCAAAAGUGUGCCUGAGAGCUUGAAUUUGAAGUCUCAGAAGACUCUUUUAAAGAGUAGAAAAUACGAAUAAAAUAGAAAACGUGGAGCUAAAGUUAAAACGG
rnacentral:lncRNA from 1 species